rnacentral:rRNA from 1 species
CCUACGGGCGGCAGCAGUGGGGAAUAUUGCACAAUGGGGGAAACCCUGAUGCAGCGACGCCGCGUGAAGGAAGAAGUAUUUCGGUAUGUAAACUUCUAUCAGCAGGGAAGAAAAUGACGGUACCUGACUAAGAAGCCCCUGCUAACUACGGGCCAGCAGCCGCGGUAAAACGUAGGGGGCAAGCGUUAUCCGGAUUUACUGGGUGUAAAGGGAGCGUAGGCGGUUUAGCAAGUCAGAAGUGAAAGCCCAGGGCUCAACUCCGGGACUGCUUUUGAAACUGUUGAACUAGAGUGCAGGAGAGGUAAGUGGAAUUCCUAGUGUAGCGGUGAAAUGCGUAGAUAUUAGGAGGAACACCAGUGGCGAAGGCGACUUACUGGACUGUAAAUGACGCUGAGGCUCGAAAGCGUGGGGAGCAAACAGGAUUAGAUACCCGUGUAGUC